CCUACGGGUGGCAGCAGUGAGGAAUAUUGGUCAAUGGACGGGAGACUGAACCAGCCAAGCAGCGUGAGGGAGGACGGUCCAGUGUAUUGUAAACUUCUUUUGUCAGGGAAUAAAAACGGGGAUGCAUACCCGGUUGUAUGUACCUGAUGAAAAAGGAUCGGCUAACUCCGUGCCAGCAGCCGCGGUAAUACGGAGGAUCCGAGCGUUAUCCGGAUUUAUUGGGUUUAAAGGGAGCGUAGGUGGGUUGUUAAGUCAGUUGUGAAAGUUUGGGGCUCAACCCCCGAAUGGCAGUUGAAACUGGCAGUCUUGAGUACAGGAGAGGUGUGCGGAAUGCGUGGUGUAGCGGUGAAAUGCUUAGAUAUCACGAAGAACUCCGAUUGCGAAGGCAGCUCGCUGG
rnacentral:rRNA from 1 species